rnacentral:rRNA from 1 species
AGAAUAUAAAUUGUAUGAAAACAAAAAAUUAUGGCGGUAUUUUAAGCUUUUCAGAGGAAUUUGCUCUUUAAUGGAUAAAACACCUAAAUCUUACUAAAUUUAGUUAAACAGUUUGUAUACCACUAUUUAAGUAAUAAUUUGCUAUUAUUACUAAAAUUUAUAUUAAUUAAAAAAAGUUAAGUCAAGGUGCAGCAUAAAUUUUAGUAUGAAGUGAAUUACAUUUCUUUUAAGAAAAAUUUGUUGAAAAUAAAAUUUAGGAUUUGAAAGUAAAAUUUUAAUAGAAGGAAAAUUUGAAUUAAGCUCUAAAAUAUGUACAUA